CUCGGCUCCGGGCUCGGCUCCCCGCGCCUCGGCGCCCCCAGGCUCCCACCAAGACGAGCUCUGCGCGGGGCUCGGCCCACCCCGGAAGGCGUGCGUCGCGGCGUCGCGUGGUGAAGACCGCGCCGAGGGCCGAGGUCAGCGAACCAUCACCUCCGUGUGCCUUGGCUUGUACAUGCUGCUUUCCCUGUCAUCGCAGACCUGAGUUAAACCUGCCUUGGUGUGAGCACUGGGAGGUUUCAGCUCCUGACUGUCUUCCAGUGUCCAUGUCUGUGUGGAAAUGCUUCAAUGUGAUCCAAGAGCCGAGAGGUCACCGUAUCAUGCUAUAACAGCAGAAGGAGCUAAGUAUUGCCAACACCCAAGCUGUGUGCACUUCUCAAAUCCCACCGUCUUCCCUGUUGAUCCAACAUGGCUGAAGAUAGCGC